UCCAGGCAAAACAUAAUUCAUAUUGUGACAUAAGCAUAAUAUUUGUGUGUGGGGUUACUUCUGAAUCUCUUGGAUGAAUGAGUUGACUGUAUACAGAGUCUAUGAUGUUCUUGUGAUCCUUGACUUACGUUUCAGUUCUUCAUCACCUUUGAGCAGCUGAAGAAGCUUCCAUUGUAGAGUUUGUGACUUGACUGAACUGUGUAUGUGCUUGUGUGUGUGUGUGUCUAUGGCUUCAGCAUUUUCCAUCCCUUCUCCAUCACACACCUAUAAUUAUUUUUAGAACAUUUAUUUUGUUCUCAUUUGCAUUGUACAUACUUGACCUAUUUAAACACACUUGUUUUUGCACCUAAAUGCUUAAUUUUUCACUUCCGGCAGCUAUCUUGUCUGACAGCGCCAUGUUCACAGGCCCAGUGGUGUUUUCAUAGUACAUGCUUGAGAAGCCACACUGGUGAAUAUUUGAGGUAAAGGGCUAUAGUGAAAACUGGAAACCACCAGACAUAGUUUCUCCACACUGGCUAGAGAGUUUGGAAUUAUAGCAUAGUGCUUAAAGUUACUAAAAACACAUCCGCCAUGUGGGAGAUGUAGAGCAAUAGUUUAGUGUAGAACUGAAUGCAGUUGGGGAAUAUAAGCAGAAAUAUUUGAGGUCCACGCACUCCAAAUUAGAUAUUGUCCUUGUAAUUUAAAAUGCUCACAUGUAAACACAGCUUCAGUGAUAAGAAUGUAUUUUGCUUCAUCUGUAGACUGCAGAUGUGAUUGCCCAUGUUGCAAACUUCUAGACAGCCCAAAUUAAUAUCAAAGGAACUAAUAAGGGGUGCUGUGGCCUCAUAUCCUGUAUCUUUGAGCUCAAUGGGCAUUCAUAAAACACAAGCAAAUUUCAGUGUAGCUUAAGUCUGUUCUCGCCCAAGUGGUCGCAUUUAAUUCAGCAUUGCACAGAAAUUCUGUUGUGCGCAAAAAAGCUUCUUUUAUCCCAUAUUAUGUCAAGGACCCCUGAAAAGCUCCUUGGAAAUGGGUGAGAAGUUUAUGCUUGAACAUGUACAGAAUUCUAAGCACUCGUGACUGCGCACAAGCUUUUAAUUUCCUUAUUUUUUAUUUUUUUUUGCAGUGUUGUCUUUGUUGCCAUGUACAUUUGCAUGUGUGUAUGUAGUGUGUGUGUGCUUGUGUUCUGAGAAGCACAUGUAAAAUGUCAAAUAUUUUGGCAGCUGUGAAAGUGUGUAAAUACUGCUACUGUACGGUAGAAUAAAACAUUAGCAUAUAUAGUUUUUUGUUUGUUUGUUAAUUUUAAACUAGAUUUUGUGGAAAUGGGUGUCAGUAGCAUUUUUGAGUGCUUGCCUCUUUGCCAAAGUGUACAUGUAUUAAACCAGAACUGCACUGAUGUUGCUGGUUUUUAAAAGUGACACAUUAUUAUUGUUAUUAUUGGGAAAGUACUGUUACAUAUUUAUUAUUGUAUGCCGCCAUAUUUCAAGCCUUACCACUUCCUGCUUUUAUAUUUAUGCCUUUGCCUGGUUGUUUUAUGUCUCUCGGUAUGCUAGCCAAACAUGAAGUGUUGAACUUCUGUUAUAAUUUACUGUCUAUAUUGUUCAUAAUCUUUAAAAUGCAAAUCAAACUGUACUGUAAACUUCUAAGCAAACAUCCUUGCUUAAGUAUUAUGGACACGCUGUUUCUUCAUAUGACUUUAAGGGGACAAGAUUAAAAGGUUUAAUGUAUGUAAUGCCUGUGUUAUUCAGGGGUUUUCAUAUUUGUUAUACUUCCAAUUUUUUUUUUCUGAGCUUUGGCUUUUGCUAGAUUGGUGACUACAGCAUGGUGCAUGAUGUAUUCCUCUCUAAAUAACUUUGGAAAAUGCUAUUUCAUUAUGUGCAAAGACCAAGAACCACAUUAACCCAUGUGCCAGUGUUCUUGCUUCAGUUUACUGUUAGUAACUCACGAAUCGUUAGGUUGAGAACAUUUUUGCUGUUAUGCUCCCUCAGGUUUUUUUUUUUUCUUUGCAAGUUUUUUAUUUUUUUUCUUCAUAUAUACAGCUUUAUUUAUAUUUUUAUUUAUUUAUUUUAUUUUUUUGUUUGUUUCUUUUGUGCAGAGGUACUUUUUAAAUUUGUUCGUUUGGAUGUAUAAUGGAAAUCAGGAUGAAUUUUCUGACAAUGUUGUACAUUGAGGGAAAUUAUAGAAUGUAUUACCCAGAUUAAUUUGAUAAAUGUGACCCUGGAGCACAAAACCAGUCUUAAGUCACUGGGGUAUAUUUGUAGCAAUAGCCAAAAAUACAUUGUAUGGGUCAAAAUGACCGAUUUUUCUUUUAUGCCAAAAAUCAUUAGGAUAUUAACUAAAGAUCAUGUUCCAUGAAGAUAUUUUGUAAAUUUCCUACUGUAAAUAUCAAAACUUCAAUUUUGAUUUUACAUUGCUAAGGACUUCAUUUGGACAACUUUAAAGGCGAUAUACUCAAUAUUUUGCUUUUUUUGCACCCUCAGAUUUCAGAUUUUUAAAUAGUUGAUUUAUUUAAAUUUAAUUUAAUUUUAAUUUAUUUAAAUCUCAGUUUUGAAAAAUUGACACUUAAGACGGUUUUGUGGUCCAUGGUCACAAAUAUGAUAUAAUGAAAAUGUGCAGAAUAAAAAGGGGUAUAUACACACACAAAUUUGGUAAUCAAGUAUUGAAUAGUAAAUAUUAUAUCAUGUAGUAACUUUAAUACCCGGCACAGCUUUUCCUCCUACAUGCAGUUAAACCUUUGAUACAUUAUAUAAUUGCUUAAUAUUACCAAUUUCUUUGUGAUCCAAUCUUUUGGUUAAGUGUCUUUGGUGAACACAAACAUAAUUUAUUGAUCUGUUGCUUGGAUAGACAAUGAAUUGUAUCGAGAAUGCCUUUUUUCUUUUGUGGAUGGUUUGAUUUAUUUAGCUUUGUUUAAUGUAACUGUGCACCCUGACAAUAAAUACAAUGUUCACUGAAAAUUGCUUUGAAUAGGUCCCAUUUAGUCCCAUUGAGGCGUAGGAGCAAAUGAUGGUAUGUUAUUUUCAACAAAAACAUCAUACAAAUCUUGUAUGUAUUUAUUAUUUUUUAAUAUUAUUGCAUACAGGUUUAGCAGCUGAGGUGCAUACAAUGCUAUAAUAAAUGUAAGAUUGACUUUCUGCAU
ensembl:lncRNA